rnacentral:tRNA from 1 species
GCCUGGGUGGCUCAGUCGGUUGAGCGUCUGACUUCGCCUCAGUCAUGACCUCACGGUUCGUGGGUUCGAGCCCUGCAUUGGGCU